UUGUUUUGUGUUGAAGCUUGAACUUGUCCUUUGCAUGUCCUUUUGUUGUGUCCCGGUUUUUUGCAGAUAUCACAAGUUACAGUGUUACCCUUCCUUGCCAUGUGACCUGUCUUUGCCAUAUGUUCGCUCAACUCAAGUGUUGAUCUCUUUCUUUUUUUCUUAGGCCUACCAACUUGAGUGUGAUGCUUGGGAGGUGUUAAUGUUGUUGGACAUGCGGAGGGUGUCCACAUUUCCCUUCCAUUUAUUGGUGUCAAUGGACCAGAACAUUUUUCAAUAUCCAGCUGAACAUUCAUAAUUCUUUUC
rnacentral:lncRNA from 1 species